rnacentral:rRNA from 1 species
GGUAGCAUAAUCAUUAGUCUUUUAAUUGGAGACUGGUAUGAAUGGCUAAACGAGAGAUCAACUUUUUUUACCGUAGAAAUUGAAUUUAACUUUUUAGUGAAAAGGCUAAAAUUUUUCAGAAAGACGAGAAGACCCUAUAGAGUUUUAUAAAGGACUAAUACUUUUUAUUUGGAUUUUUAUAAAAAAUAUUAAUAAAUUUAUUUUGUUGGGGCGACAUUUAGAUAAAAAAAACUCUUUAUAAGAAAAAUUUUUAUGAAAAUAUGGAUUGAUCCUUUAAAAAAGAUCAUAAGAAAAAAUUACCUUAGGGAUACAGCGUAAUCUUUUUUGAGAGUUCUAAUCGACAAGAAGGUUUGCGACCUCGAUGUUGGACUAAAAUUAGGGCAGGGU